GACGAACGCUGGCGGCGUGCCCAAUACAUGCAAGUUGAGCGCUGAAGGUUGGUACUUGUACCGACUGGAUGAGCAGCGAACGGGUGAGUAACGCGUGGGGAAUCUGCCUUUGAGCGGGGGACAACAUUUGGAAACGAAUGCUAAUACCGCAUAAAAACUUUAAACACAAGUUUUAAGUUUGAAAGAUGCAAUUGCAUCACUCAAAGAUGAUCCCGCGUUGUAUUAGCUAGUUGGUGAGGUAAAGGCUCACCAAGGCGAUGAUACAUAGCCGACCUGAGAGGGUGAUCGGCCACAUUGGGACUGAGACACGGCCCAAACUCCUACGGGAGGCAGCAGUAGGGAAUCUUCGGCAAUGGACGAAAGUCUGACCGAGCAACGCCGCGUGAGUGAAGAAGGUUUUCGGAUCGUAAAACUCUGUUGGUAGAGAAGAACGUUGGUGAGAGUGGAAAGCUCAUCAAGUGACGGUAACUACCCAGAAAGGGACGGCUAACUACGUG
rnacentral:rRNA from 1 species